GGGGAUGUGGCUCAGUGGUAGAGCAUACGCUUUGCAUGUGUAAGGCCCUGGGUUCAAUCCCCAGCAUCUCCA